rnacentral:rRNA from 1 species
CUACGGGUUGCUGCAGUGAGGAAUAUUGCACAAUGGGGGGAACCCUGAUGCAGCAACGCCGCGUGGAGGAUGACGCAUUUCGGUGUGUAAACUCCUUUUAUAUGUCAAGAAAAUGACGGUAGCAUAUGAAUAAGCACCGGCUAACUCCGUGCCAGCAGCCGCGGUAAUACGGAGGGUGCAAGCGUUACUCGGAAGCACUGGGCGUAAAGGACGCGUAGGCGGGUUGGAAAGUCAGGUGUGAAAUCCUACAGCUUAACUGUAGAACUGCACUUGAAACUUCUAAUCUAGAGUAUGGGAGGGGGAGAUGGAAUUAGUGGUGUAGGGGUAAAAUCCGUAGAUAUCACUAGGAAUACCUAAAGCGAAGGCGAUCUCCUGGAACAUUACUGACGCUAAGGCGUGAAAGCGUGGGGAGCAAACAGGAUUAGAUACCCGCGAGUC